UGACGAUAAUACUAAACCAUCCGCAAGGAUGGGACGGAAAGCCAUAGGGUCUCACUGAGACAGCCGGGUUGCCGAA
rnacentral:ncRNA from 1 species